UACAGAGGGGGCAAGCGUUGUUCGGAAUUACUGGGCGUAAAGGGCUCGUAGGCGGCCAACUAAGUCGGAUGUGAAAUCCCCAGGCUUAACCUGGGAACUGCAUCCGAUACUGGAUGGCUUGAAUCCGGGAGAGGGAUGCGGAAUUCCAGGUGUAGCGGUGAAAUGCGUAGAUAUCUGGAGGAACACCGGUGGUGAAGGCGGCAUCCUGGACCGGCAUUGACGCUGAGGAGCGAAAGCCAGGGGAGCAAACGGG
rnacentral:rRNA from 1 species